rnacentral:rRNA from 1 species
GAUGAACGCUGGCGGCGUGCCUAAUACAUGCAAGUCGAGCGAACAGACGAGGAGCUUGCUCCUCUGACGUUAGCGGCGGACGGGUGAGUAACACGUGGAUAACCUACCUAUAAGACUGGGAUAACUUCGGGAAACCGGAGCUAAUACCGGAUAAUAUAUUGAACCGCAUGGUUCAAUAGUGAAAGACGGUUUUGCUGUCACUUAUAGAUGGAUCCGCGCCGCAUUAGCUAGUUGGUAAGGUAACGGCUUACCAAGGCAACGAUGCGUAGCCGACCUGAGAGGGUGAUCGGACACACUGGAACUGAGACACGGUCCAGACUCCUACGGGAGGCAGCAGUAGGGAAUCUUCCGCAAUGGGCGAAAGCCUGACGGAGCAACGCCGCGUGAGUGAUGAAGGUCUUCGGAUCGUAAAACUCUGUUAUUAGGGAAGAACAAAUGUGUAAGUAACUAUGCAAGUCUUGACGGUACCUAAUCAGAAAGCCACGGCUAACUACGUG